GGGGUUGUGGCUCAGCGGUAGAGCACUCGCCUAGCACGUGUGAAGCCCUGGCUUCAAUGCCCAGCACCACA
rnacentral:tRNA from 1 species